UAAGAAUUUGAGCUAGGAGGCACUUGGAGAUAUUUUCAUCUAAUGCAAUUUCCUCAUUUUAUAGAUAAAGUAAUUGAAAACUAGAUAGAGGAAAUCAUUUGUCUAUACCAGGAAAAACCAGAUAGUUUGUGGCAAAGUCAAUAUUUAACCCCAGGUCGUCUGAAUCUAAUACUCUUUCCACCCUAUAAUCCCUCUUUCCUCCAGUUGUUGGUUUAGGUAAGGUAGCUGCCUGUCUUACAGCUCUUAUCACAUGGAAGGAUGUUAGCAUUUCAGAGACCUGGCAUUUCAAACCAGAGAACCAGUCUAAGUCAGCACACCUGUUCUGUGAUAAGGGUUAGAACCUUAACUUGGGUGGGAGGAGAGCGUGAGAAAAUUAGGCCUUAUUUGGACAUAUUUCUCUGCUGACCAAAUUAACAUUUGACUUCCAACUGUUCUUUCUUUCCUUCCUUAACAUUUUCUUAUUUAUAAACAACUAUUAUAUUUCAAAGUGCUAAGUUGGGCUUGAAGGUUCAGCAAGAACAGUUGGAGCACCAAUACAAUCUAUAUCAUGAUUUCCCCCCAAAUAUGUAUUUGUUACUGUUCCUCAUUUCAAAGUGAAAAGAACAUGAAUUAAAAGAAUAAAAGGCAGCCCUGAAUUGAAUACUGGAUGCAUUUUUCACUGCUAUUUUCCUUUCAAAAAUAUGUACUUAUUAUAUGUUUUCUUACGAUUUUGAGCCAAGGAAACAUUAAGAGUCUGUAGAAUUAAGAAGGCAGUUUAACACACUGAUCAUAUCUCCAGUAAUUGGAAUCUGAAAGAACCUGCUGUAAAAGGAUGCAUUCCAACUGCCAUCUGACAAUUCACAUGCUGGUUGUCCCAGGCAUUAUAAGUCUAUUAGGAGAACAAAGACAAUCAAAAAGAGUGGAUAGAGAACACCUUUGCCUUGGGGUAGAUGAGCUGAGGAGGCUGACCAGAGAAAAAAAGGUCUCAUCACACAUGUGCAAUUGUACAGACUUAUUGGAUCGUAGCGUCUAUAGCUGUUCAUUGAAGAUUUAAGAAGUCAAAAUUUUGUUGCUGUGAAUACUCUCAUCCCCAACAUAGAUUAGACCUUGCUUUAAUUUAAUAGAUCAUCUUUUAGAGUUGUUGUGGCUUAAAAAUAAGUAAACAAAUAAAUAAAUGAACAAAUAACA
rnacentral:lncRNA from 1 species